UUGACUGCCAUCGUGUGGUCAUGUUUAGGAAGUGCACCUUCCCCCAAACGUUGUUUAAAGCCGCAGAUUAUAAAUCUAUAUUCCUGCUGAGUGUGUGUUUAUGACCUGGCUGUUGAGUUGCUUUUAAACUUUCUACAUAAGCAGCAUUUCUGGCCUCUGUGAGUCCCAGGUGAUGAUCUUUUAUUUUCAGAUUCUUACUGAGGUGCUGUUUUCCACAUGCAGUGCUUGGCUGUGUUGGAGGCCACCAAGAAAGACUUCCUGGCUGUCAUGUGGAAGCUAAGUGGGCUGGGGUCAAAAGGGUUUCUGGCCAUGGUGCUUGUGCUGCAGUGAUCUUGUUCUCCAUCACACUCCAACACAGGUAGCCAUCUUCACCCUCUCCCAAGAGGUGAUGGUACGACUCUGAAUAAACACUCUAUUAUUAUAAAUAAAGUGUGACUGUGUCUUGUAGUCCACCCACCAACCUUUUUCUGUUCAGUGGUUUGACUUGUGCUACACAGAGGUGAGUCCAGUUAUGCUGCAAGAAGUGUAAGUAUGAUGGGGUUGACGAGUGGGAGGAGAGGUUCUUCCUGUGCAAGGUGCUGCUCUCACUUCUUUCAGCAUAGCUCCUGGUCUCAGAACAGGUUUAGUUCAUUGUUGCUGGUGUUGUGUAGAGGAUGUUAUAUUGUGAAAGUCACAACUAUCCCCGCUCAAGGUCUUGUGAAAUAUUUGACCUUAUUUGUGACUAUAUUCACCAUGAUACUUUCAGCGGUUACUACAUUAGUGUCCUUCAUUUUUUACUAUUUAAAGAUUGUGUAAAAGUUUAUUACAGGCUCAAUGAAUGUUCUUCCCCUUCACUAGAAGAUAAAGGCCCGGUUUCACAGACAGGGUUUACAUUAAGCCAGGAUUAGAUCUUCAAUAAAUUAGGACAUUUCAGUAGCUUUUAUAAACGUGUCUUUAGAAAAAAAUAUUUCUGGUGCACAUCCUGAGAUAAAACAAUGGCACUGACGUGUUUUAAGAUCCGUCCGUGCAAGUAGCUUUCAGUUAAAACAGCUCAAAGAUACAUUUUAGUCUGGGACUAGGCUUAGGCCUUGUCUGUGAAACCAGGGGGAAAAAGAAGGGUGUGCUUUAUUAUGCUCUCUGCCGAAUAUGACAGAAGAAAUGUGACUCACACCUGUAACUAUAAAAAGCAGGUAGAACUGCAGUUAGCAUGAAACCUCAAAUGUGUAGCUGGGCUGGAAAUUUAUUUUUGUAUGCAUGUAUAAUAUUUUUUCUCUUACAGAUGGACCAGCAAACAGAUUUAAAGGCUGUUGUGAAUGAUGGGUUACAGAAAUGUCUUCCUGUGUUUAUUAUUAUUUGAAGUUAUAUAUUCUGAUUUGUAAGCAAGAUUAUGAAGUCUCCUUUUGCUAAUCAUUUUACAGCAUUAUUAAAAAGUCCAUGUACACAAUGUU